ACGAAGGGUGCAAGCGUUACUCGGAAUUACUGGGCGUAAAGCGUGCGUAGGUGGUUCGUUAAGUCUGCCGUGAAAGCCCCGGGCUCAACCUGGGAAUGGCGGUGGAUACUGGCGGACUAGAGUGCGGUAGAGGGUGGUGGAAUUCCGGGUGUAGCGGUGGAAUGCGUAGAGAUCCGGAAGAACACCGGUGGCGAAGGCGGCCUGCUGGGCAGUAGCUGACGCUGAGGCGCGACAGCGUGGGGAGCAAACAGGA
rnacentral:rRNA from 1 species